rnacentral:rRNA from 1 species
CAGCCGCCGCGGUAAUACGGAGGGGGCUAGCGUUGUUCGGAAUUACUGGGCGUAAAGCGCACGUAGGCGGCUUGGUAAGUUAGGGGUGAAAGCCCGGAGCUCAACUCCGGAAUUGCCUAUAAGACUGCCGAGCUAGUAGGUGAGAGAGGUAAGUGGAAUUCCGAGUGUAGAAGUGAAAUUCGUAGAUAUUCGGAAGAACACCAGUGGCGAAGGCGGCUUACUGGCUCAUUCUAGACGCUGAGGUGCGAAAGCGUGGGGAGCAAACAGGAUUAGAUACCCCGGUAGUCCCUGUCUCUUAUAU